AGGUGCAUCGCAGGGCAGCUGCUCCAUUGGCAGAGAGAUGGAUGUGGAUUUAGCCCUCUUUGCUUCGCUCUUUUGCCUGUCUGCCAAAGGAGAUUUGCCCCGCGAUCCAUCA
rnacentral:pre_miRNA from 1 species